UACGUAGGUGGCAAGCGUUGUCCGGAUUUAUUGGGUUUAAAGGGUGCGUAGGCGGUUUUAUAAGUCAGUGGUGAAAUACGGCAGCUCAACUGUCGAGGUGCCAUUGAUACUGUGAGACUUGAGUACAGACGAGGUAGGCGGAAUUGACGGUGUAGCGGUGAAAUGCUUAGAUAUCGUCAAGAACACCGAUAGCGAAGGCAGCUUACUAGGCUGUAACUGACGCUGAGGCACGAAAGUGUGGGGGAUCAAACAGG
rnacentral:rRNA from 1 species